GACAGAGGGUGCAAACGUUGCUCGGAAUUACUAGGCGUAAAGCGCGUGUAGGUGGCUUCGCGAGUCCGAUGUGAAAGCCCUGGGCUCAACCUGGGAAUUGCAUUGGAUACUGGCAGGCUAGAGUGCGAUAGAGGGUAGUGGAAUUCCCGGUGUAGCAGUGAAAUGCGUAGAGAUCGGGGAGGAACAUCUGUGGCGAAGGCGACUACCUGGACCAGCACUGACACUGAGGCACGGAAAGCGUGGGGAGCAAACAGG
rnacentral:rRNA from 1 species